rnacentral:lncRNA from 1 species
AAGACCGGGGUUAUGGUUUUGGAAACGUUACAAGUUCCAUCGUAAAGUACGAGAAACACUCAGGAAAUAAUUAUUCUUACAAAAAAGCAACAACCUUGAACAAUUCUAAACUUGCAAGCUUAUUUUUUUUAUGAAUCCCCCAAGAGUGAAACUGUUCAUUCAUUACAUUCAAGCGAAAAAUUAUAUUCAUCAUUUCCUUAACAAGAAGGAAUUUUUCAGAAAGAAGUAAAACAUAGAUUACGUCACGAUUGAACCCAUGAUAUUAUAUUCUAUCUUUCUGUCAAUAUAAUAUAAACCAUGUCUCAGAGCCUUUUAACAACAGCUAAACCAAAUAACUUAAUUUCAAAAUCUGAGCAGAUUUAGGUAUCUGUGACUCAGGGUUGUGACUUUUCACUUUGCACAAAGACACUCAAAAUAAUAAUGAUAAAAUGAUUUCAGUCUGUACAUAUUAUUAUCAGGGCAGUAUGGUUGAAAACUGAGUUCUCGACGCAGUAAGGAAGUAUGAGACCACAUUUUUGCCUCAGAACAAAAACUGUCAAUAAAAGGCUGAAAACAAAUCACGCCUAACCAAAACAAAGCAGGGAAACAAACUCAUAGAAAUGCACUUAUCAGUGGAGCCCAACAGAAAAAAGCGCACGCAAAACUGGCAAGAACAAUAGGAAUAGACGAUCACAUGCACAAUUUUAUUGGACGCCGGCAUAAAAGUUCAUUACAUCUGAAAGAAUGAAUGGAGAUCGUGAGAUCCCCAGCUAGCAAUAAAGCGAUUUAGCCAGGAGAGAUAUGGAACUGUGCGCGGGACCCCCACUACUGCAAAGUCUUUGGAGCAGGGACGGAUAACUCCUUCGGACGCGUGUUCGCAUUCAUCUCCCUUACACCGCGCGUGCUAAAUCCGGCGCGUGUCGCGCGCGUGCGAGACCGUGCUACAAAGAGGCGCAGGUACUCGAAACGGCACGCGAUGGGACAUUUAACUAACGAUAGUCCAUUAUCGCACGUCAAGACAGUUUCUCCCCUCGUCCAGCGGUGCGUGAAGGAUAUCUCACGCUUCUCUUAGUCCCUGUGUAGAGGCCGCUUGCUUGCCUCCCUCGCCACCGACGCCCAAGGCUCAAGCGAGUUGGGAGGACAACAUCAAGAAAGGGAGAGGCAUGGACCUCAAAGACACACUCAGGAAAGCUGAAGACGGACGGUGUUGAGGAAGCUGGUGGCCAAAUCUUCAAAAGUGCACCGACGGACAUCCAGUCUACGGGAUAGAUGAUGAUUUAAAGAACAUCAAACAGACGGAAUGCGUAACAAGAGUGUAGUCUUGAACUAGGGGAGAAAACCUGAGAACGCAUCACAUUUCAUCCCCUGCUCCACGCCUUAGAAGUCAAAACGGGCCAUGUUCGAUAAUGUGGUCUUUCCAUAUUGACUGUCUUCUAAUACACCUCAUGUGGAUCAGUCUAUAUUUCCUGUAGUUUAGAAUGAGGAUAUGAAAUUGCUUUACACUGAAAAAGAAAUAACCAUGUGUUUUCCAGCUGUACACAAAGACAGAGUCAAAGUUAGGGGCUUAACCGUUGUAUCUAUUAUGUCUCCUGGUUGAAGUUCAGAAGAAAAAAAAAAAAACACUGUUAAGAUUGAAAUCACUGAGUUGCAUCUGAAUCACACAGGAUGGUUUUCCAAGAAAAAUCCAUGAACAAAUGUUGGUGGAAUACAUUGUAGAACUACAGACUGAACACAUACUUGUUCCUCUGCUUUGUAAAUCCAUAAUCUCUUGAGAUCAAAAUGAAGCUGAUAUGUUUUUGACAUACACACAAACACACACAUACACACACACACACA